CGUGUCGGGCACUGGGCCUGGGCCGCACUCAGUGGUCACGUUGACCUUGCGGCAAGGGCAUCACGUCCGGUUCAGACGGGCUAAGUUACCCACCCAAGACACACAGUUAGGACGCGGCACAACCGGGCUUUAACCUAGGCCUUUCAUGAUUCCAAUCCCGCAGCCGCUCACAAUCUCUUCAGAGGAGAGAAUUCUGUCACUGGCCUACAGACUGUCGACAACUUCCAGGGGUAGGGCUAGGAAGGGGAAGCUGUUCUAGAAUAAUUCUACAAACAUCCGUGUAUUCUCUCCGCAGGCAAGCCCAGGUCUGCAGCUGAUUCAUGACUCAAGUAGCAUAUCCAGGGUGGACGAUACAGACUGCGUAAGAGUUCUAGUGUCAUCUGUUCUACAUAUCACUACUCGAAAUGGUAUGCUGCUGUGUUUGUGAAUCCAGCCUCCCACAGUGGAUAUGUCACCAUUGACCUAUAACAAUUGGAAUGACACAUCUUCACUGGAGAAAAACAAAUAAACAAAAAUACUCAUAGAUUUGCAGAUAGAAAAUAUAUGUGAAAAUAUAUAUUGUGAAAAUAUAUCAGAGAACUGUACUUCAAAAAAAAGUAAAAGUCCUGAAAAGGAGAAACACAAGCAAUUCAGGCCUCUGCCUUUCCCCAAAUGCCUGAUGAUCCUUGGCUGUUCACUCACGUGUGAGAAUGGAGCACUUAAAUGCCAGUUAGCUCUAUGUACAUGGUGAUGUUUGCAACUGUGGGCUUCAUAGUAGACUAAUUUAGCUGAGUAAUUUCUUUGGUGAACCCCCAAUGUCAGUAUCUUUUAGAUCUUUUCUCUUGGGUUUGUUGGAUGCCUCAGAAAAGUCUCUUCCAGUCUCCUGCCUGGAGUUAGAAGUGCUUUGAAUAUAGAGUUGGGGAGGAUGGUGGUUCUCAGCAUUCAGUGUGUAAAUGUCUAAAUAAUCCCAUUUUCAGGGUAUUACUCUUAUCCUCAG